rnacentral:ncRNA from 1 species
GAAAUGGUAUCUAUGAAGAGAAUCAUAGAUUUAAAAGGGAAUGUAGUGAAAGUCUGCAGCAGCCUAACUUUACUGUAACCGUCGUACCUCUAUUUACAAUGUAAAUACAUAUCCACUGGGAAAUCCCGGGAAGGAAAAUAGAGAUAUUCUAGUUUUUAGAAGCUUCGGAAGCCAGGAGACCUGCCUUGUCUGU